rnacentral:lncRNA from 1 species
CUUCCUCUUUCUGGGAAAAAGAUUGUUUUAAUUAGAAUAAUGAAAUAUUUUCUGUGUUCACAGAAAACAUGGAAGUUGGUGAUGCUGUACAGAAAUUGAGGCUACAUGCCAAACUCCUGCUCCUUGGACUAGUCUUCCAGCAGAAGUGAUUGAAAGAACAAAAAGAAGCCAAGAAUGUGUUCCACUCUAAAACAAAGUUCAAUGAGAAUGUUGCAGCAGUUGAAGCAUUCAAUAGAAAAAGGGAAAAGAAAAAGAAUAAUUUAUUGGGAAUUCCUGAAUCAUUCUUGACAAGGUGUUGUGAGGAAGGGCAACAAGAUAAGGGAUAUCUAAAUCACAGCAAUGAAGGAGAGAAAUAUUUAAUGUCCAUUUGGCAAUAAAGAGGUUUUUAUAAUUAUUUUGGCAGCCAGUUUUUGUGUUGCUAGUCCAACUUAAUGAACACCACAAUGAAAUUUAAAGUAAAUAACAGAAUGAUAUAAACAUUUCUAGUUAUUUAUUUAAAUUCAUUUUUGACAUUUACUAUAGAAGAAUAAAGAUUAUUUUCCUCAAAUUUGUUGAUUUCGA